rnacentral:sRNA from 1 species
CCUCUACUACAAGCAUGGCACUGGUGGUGAUCGAGCUCUUCUGCCGUAGCAAUUUCAACACAAGGUGCUACCCUCUGCUGAUAUACGCCAUUCUUACUAGUUGCUCGAGGUUGCCUAGCAUGCUACCAGGCAUCUUACCUGCUGCUGCAAGAAAAACAGUUGACACAUUUUGAAAGCAGCAGGACUAGCGCCUGACGGAGCCAACCUUCUAAGCAACUUUGAUCUUAGAUUUGAGUACCUAUGGAACAGUGACUACAUACAUCUUCACAUUCAGGCUUCACAUUCAUCAGCUUUCAUUCAACUUGUCCGCAUAGCAUACCCCAUCCACUCAUCGUCAGCCCCAUCCACGUAAGUCCAUGUGUUCCCUUUUACCAAUGAAUAACUUUGGAACUGCUGUCUUUGUGUACGUGUGCUGUGGCAACUCUCUUUUCCUCACUAUCCUUGAACCAGAUUGAGAUGACAUCUUCCAGGUCUGAAGGGUCAUUGUAGGACUUGUGUGGAUGCAAACCUCUAAUUUAUUGAAUGGUCAGGCAAUAUGUAUUUGUGAACUGGACAGGGUGAUCUGUGAUGUUUGUACUUUAUUUCUGCUUUCAUGACUCCUGAGUUCUAGCACUAUUGUCAGAUCCAACAACUAGUUGACAGCUUACUCAACUAACUUACAUCAUUCUUGAACUUUUCACAAAAGGUCUUCACACUAUUGUGUACCAUGCAGAAUUCUUUAUAUGUUCCAGCUUUGUUUUGCCAGUGUAUUGAAUGAGCCUCUUGGCUGUGACGGAGAACGUGAUUUCUUGAGAGUGAUUCAGUAGUAGGAGAUAGUUAAAUGAAGUGGUCACAGUGAAAUGAUGAGAGAAAGCUACUUCUUACAGACAUUCUCUCGAGUCUUUAUAGACA